rnacentral:rRNA from 1 species
GACGAACGCUGGCGGCGUGCCUAAUACAUGCAAGUUGAGCGCUGAAGGUUGGUACUUGUACCAACUGGAUGAGCAGCGAACGGGUGAGUAACGCGUGGGGAAUCUGCCUUUGAGCGGGGGACAACAUUUGGAAACGAAUGCUAAUACCGCAUAAAAACUUUAAACACAAGUUUUAAGUUUGAAAGAUGCAAUUGCAUCACUCAAAGAUGAUCCCGCGUUGUAUUAGCUAGUUGGUUAGGUAAAGGCUCACCAAGGCGAUGAUACAUAGCCGACCUGAGAGGGUGAUCGGCCACAUUGGGACUGAGAAAAGGCCCAAACUCCUACGGGAGGCAGCAGUAGGGAAUCUUCGGCAAUGGACGAAAGUCUGACCGAGCAACGCCGCGUGAGUGAAGAAGGUUUUCGGAUCGUAAAACUCUGUUGGUAGAGAAGAACGUUGGUGAGAGUGGAAAGCUCAUCAAGUGACGGUAACUACACAGAAAGGGACGGCUAACUACGUG